rnacentral:lncRNA from 1 species
AUGCCUGCUUUCACAGCCCCAGACCUGGCUCCCACUGCAGCGGCGGCAAGGCUUUGCGUAGGCCUCGGGCCUGGCCUUUCGUUCAGCGCUGGAGCAGGGAGACUGGGGCUUGAAGGCAUACAGAGCAGGAGCUUUCAGUUUCCUGAAAAAAUCAGAAAAUCCACUUGCUUAUCAGCUCUACGCAGCGUUUUGAAAGUGAUUGCACUGAGACCUCCUCCACACCGCACUGUAAAUGACACGAAUGGACAACAGGAGUCUAGAAAUGACACGAACGGACAAGAACAAAAAAGAAGGGGGCCUGGAGCCUGGGCCAUGUCAGCAGGCUGGGUGUGCAGGAUGGCAGCAGGGGCUGGCACCAGUUUUGUUAGUGCAGUGACAACCGUAGGUUUGUGUAAAUAAUGUCAGGACAUGUAGCUACAGUAAGGUACCAUACAGCUGUGGGUGUGUGGUAACGGCUCAUCUGCUUGUUAAGUUUCUCCAGUGUGAACAACUAAAAUUAUAAACCAGGUUAAUUAAAAUUAUGCCUUGUACAACUUUGUGUAACGUGUUUUGCAAUAUGGACUCGGUGCCUAUCUGUGCUACCUGGGCUAUGCAGGUGCCAUAGAUCACAUUGAAUCAGAAAUAUUUAAGGAAAGACAAAUCAGGAGGUUACACUUUUGUCAGGAAAACAUAUUUUUGCUUGCUGCACCUCCUGGGGCCUGCGUGUCUGUUUACAUAAAUUCAUAAUGCAGUGAUUUAACGAACUGAGCCUACCACCUGAAUUCUAUCUCCACUUUUUACAUGAUUUUUUUCUUUCAGUAUCGUGUGGGGACUAUCAUCAUUCUUUGUCUGGGAAGGUCUGCAGGCUUUAUACAGGGUCAAAGUUAAAAUAGGAAACAGGUUCAGCUGGCUCAGAAACAGUUUGCUUCUUUUUAUUUUAAGGAGUGUUUGGAUAUACCUUGAGAUUUUCAAUGCUAGUUGUUACGAUGGGAUCCUGGUGCCUUCAAACACACCUAAACAUUCAGCAUCACCGCCAUUUCGUUUGUAAUGCUAUAAAAGACGUCAUGUUUAAUUUUAUUUAUGGGCUCAAUAUUCAAGUUUUUCAAUGUAAUUUUUCCCAUGUGGACAUUUAGAUAUGUUAGAAACAUCAUUAUCUUCUGAUAUUAGGAGUAAUAUGUUAAUAAGAAGAUUAGCAUCUCACUGAUGGACAAAAAUACUGUUUGAGCACUAUGCCAAGGCAUGCACAUCCAAAACGGGCCACAAAGCAAAGAGUACAGGCUGUGGGUGACUGGAACAUUGUAAUACUUUGUGCACUACCAAAUGCUAUACUCUCGCCUGUUUUAAUAUUAAAAUAUCAUUUCAAAUGUGCAUUAUUAGGAGUCUCUGCCUGUUAAUAGGCUUCCCCACCAAUAGGUGGUCAAAGGACUUCUUGACUGCAGCCUCUGGUGGAAGCAGGAGACAUCUGUGUCUUAGGCAAUCCUUUUGCACACAUGUGAAUGAAAUAAACUUGUCUGAUACUUAUUCUGUGUUUUUUUU